GACGAACGCUGGCGGCGUGCUUAACACAUGCAAGUCGAACGGAAAGGCCCUGCUUUUGUGGGGUGCUCGAGUGGCGAACGGGUGAGUAACACGUGAGUAACCUGCCCUUGACUUUGGGAUAACUUCAGGAAACUGGGGCUAAUACCGGAUAGGAGCUCCUGCUGCAUGGUGGGGGUUGGAAAGUUUCGGCGGUUGGGGAUGGACUCGCGGCUUAUCAGCUUGUUGGUGGGGUAGUGGCUUACCAAGGCUUUGACGGGUAGCCGGCCUGAGAGGGUGACCGGCCACAUUGGGACUGAGAUACGGCCCAGCCUCCUACGGGAGGCAGCAGUGGGGAAUAGUGCACAAUGGGCUGAAGCCUGAUGCAGCAACGCCGCGUGCGGGAUGACGGCCUUCGGGUUGUAAACCGCUUUCGCCUGUGACGAAGCGUGAGUGACGGUAAUUGGUAAAGAAGCACCGGCUAACUACGUG
rnacentral:rRNA from 1 species